CUUUGCUUUAGAAAUCAGUCUGGAAAAACAUGAUUUAACUGCUUUCAUGUAUCCUGGUCCAGCUGUCCUUGGCUCUUACGGAGAGACAAAUAUACGGACCCAGAGGUUGUCUUACAGAGCUUGGCCCCUACAGAAGAGACUACUUCAUGUUAUGAUGUAAAGCUUUCAUGACAUCAAGUGACUACUCACCUGAGGAAAGUGCAAAAGAAUCUUUACAAAAUUAAUGAAGAGCCAAAUGAAGAAGAACAUCAAUUGGAGAGUGGCAGAAUAGCUGUAUGAUUUUUUAUUCUCUUCUCAAGGCUGUUUUUCCAAGACACAGUUACAAGCAAUGCAUAUUUUAUUAAGCUACUCAUAAAGGACUUUUAUUAGUGUUGUCUAUUGUUUGGAGUUUUGUGAUUAUAACAAAAUUAUAUAUUCUCGUAACAGUUUUAUAUAUUUCUGAAUAUUCACUCGUAAGGCCUUUAGAAUGCUUUCUUUCCCUCAUACAUACUGCUUUCAGAAAUAAACCAGCUUGAGCAAAUAUAAAUAUUUUGUAA
rnacentral:lncRNA from 1 species